rnacentral:rRNA from 1 species
GACGAACGCUGGCGGCGUGCCUAAUACAUGCAAGUUGAGCGCUGAAGGUUGGUACUUGUACCAACUGGAUGAGCAGCGAACGGGUGAGUAACGCGUGGGGAAUCUGCCUUUGAGCGGGGGACAACAUUUGGAAACGAAUGCUAAUACCGCAUAAAAACUUUAAACACAAGUUUUAAGUUUGAAAGAUGCAAUUGCAUCACUCAAAGAUGAUCCCGCGUUGUAUUAGCUAGUUGGUGAGGUAAAGGCUCACCAAGGCGAUGAUACAUAGCCGACCUGAGAGGGGGAUCGGCCACAGUGGGACUGAGACACGGCCCAAAAUCCUACGGGAGGCAGCAGUAGGGAAUCUUCGGCAAUGGACGAAAGUCUGACCGAGCAACGCCGCGUGAGUGAAGAAGGUUUUCGGAUCGUAAAACUCUGUUGGUAGAGAAGAACGUUGGUGAGAGUGGAAAGCUCAUCAAGUGACGGUAACUACCCAGAAAGGGACGGCUAACUACGUG